rnacentral:tRNA from 1 species
GCCGACAUAGCUCAGUGGUAGAGCGACGCACUCGUAAUGCGUAGGUCGUGGGUUCGAAUCCCACUGUCGGCUCCA